UGACUGCAACAAGUGGGAACUUCCGAGGUGUGACCAAUCCAUAAACCUCCUCCAUGCCCAAAUCUUCAACUUUCACAUUUUCAGGCAGUUUCCAGUUAAACCCAUGUAACAUGUUAGCCAAACAAGACCCUAUCAUUUUCAGUCCAAGACUAUAACCAGGGCACAUCCUCCUUCCUGAACCAAAUGGCAAGAACUCAAAACUCUGUCCCUUCACAUCAAUUGCCUUCCCUAAGAACCUCUCAGGCCUAAACUCAUCUGGUGCAUCCCACAGUGUGGGGUCUCUGCCCAUGCUCCAUAGGUUCACAAACACUAAAGUCCCUUUACAAACAUCAUAACCUGCCACAUUGCAAUCUUCAAGAGCUAGAUGUGGUGGUAGCAUUACAACCACAGGGUGCUUCCUCAUGGUCUCUUUCAUAAUUGCAUCUAUAUAAGGAAGGUUUUCGAGGUCUUUCUCUUCUACCCAUCUCUCCUUCCUAAUCACUCUGUCAAGCUCUUCUGUCGCCUUUUCGAUCAGGUUUGGCUGUUCUAUGAGCUCAGACAUUGCCCAUUCCAAAAGGGAAGCAGAGGUAUCAGUGCCCCCAGCUAUCAAGUCCUG
rnacentral:lncRNA from 1 species